CCAAGAUCAGAUCCAUUGGCCUCAGCCAUCAAGAGGAAGCCUUGGUGAUAGCGAAGAUCACCCAGCCAAGAAAUUAAAGAUUCUCUAGUUUCCUAAAGAUCAAAGCUUUAUUUAAACCCUAGCAAGGAUGCUGAUGGAAACAUGACUAACUAUUGGUCGAAUUGAAAGUGGUGGCAAAGAUGCAAUAUUGAACCAGAAUGAGAAUACCAUAAAGGACUCUUUGUUUGGAUUGUGGAAUUUAAUUUGUAUGUUUUUAAACAUGGAUAAUUUGAAUUGUUGAUUUUAAUUUGUAUGUUUUUAAGCAUGGAU